rnacentral:rRNA from 1 species
UACGUAGGGUGCAAGCGUUGUCCGGAAUUAUUGGGCGUAAAGAGCUUGUAGGCGGUUUGUCGCGUCUGCUGUGAAAUUUCGGGGCUCAACCCCGAACUUGCAGUGGGUACGGGCAGACUAGAGUGUGGUAGGGGAGACUGGAAUUCCUGGUGUAGCGGUGAAAUGCGCAGAUAUCAGGAGGAACACCGAUGGCGAAGGCAGGUCUCUGGGCCAUAACUGACGCUGAGACGCGAAAGCGUGGGGAGCGAACAGG